AUUGAACGCUGGCGGCAGGCCUAACACAUGCAAGUCGAACGAGUGGCGGACGGGUGAGUAAUGUCUGGGAAACUGCCUGAUGGAGGGGGAUAACUACUGGAAACGGUAGCUAAUACCGCAUACCAUCGGAUGUGCCCAGAUGGGAUUAGCUAGUAGGUGGGGUAAUGGCUCACCUAGGCGACGCUCCCUAGCUGGUCUUAGAGGAUGACCAGCCAACCUGGAACUGAGACACGGGCCAGACGCCUACGUGAGGCAGCAGUGGGGAAUAUUGCACAAUGGGCGCAAGCCUGAUGCAGCCAUGCCGCGUGUGUGAAGAAGGCCUUCGGGUUGUAAAGUACUUUCAGCGGGGAGGCGUUACCCAAUGAGGAAGCACCGGCUAACUACGUGCCAGCAGCCGCGGUAAUAC
rnacentral:rRNA from 1 species